AUUAUACUCCCUCCAUCUGGAAAUACUUGUCCGAGGAAUGGAUGUAUCUAGAUGUAUUUUAGUUCUAGAUACAUCCAUUUAUAUCCAUUUCUAUGACAAGUAUUUCCGGACGGAGGGAGUAGUAU
rnacentral:pre_miRNA from 1 species